rnacentral:rRNA from 1 species
UACGUAGGGCGCAAGCGUUGUCCGGAAUUAUUGGGCGUAAAGAGCUCGUAGGCGGUCUGUCACGUCUGCCGUGAAAACCCGAGGCUUAACCUCGUGGCUUGCGGUGGAUACGGGCAUCACUGGAGUUCGGCAGGGGAGACUGGAAUUCCUGGUGUAGCGGUGAAAUGCGCAGACAUCAGGAGGAACACCGGUGGCGAAGGCGGGUCUCUGGGCCGAUACUGACGCUGAGGAGCGAAAGCGUGGGGAGCGAACAGG